rnacentral:rRNA from 1 species
UCGGGAAUUUUGGGCAAUGGGCGAAAGCCUGACCCAGCAACGCCGCGUGAGGGAUGAAGUAUUUCGGUAUGUAAACCUCGAAAGAAUGGGAAGAAUAAAUGACGGUACCAUUUAUAAGCUCCGGCUAACUACGUGCCAGCAGCCGCGGUAAUACGUAGGGAGCAAGCGUUGUUCGGAUUUACUGGGCGUAAAGGGCGCGUAGGCGGCGCGGUAAGUCACUUGUGAAAUCUCUGAGCUUAACUCAGAACGGCCAAGUGAUACUGCUGUGCUAGAGUGCGGAAGAGGCAACCGGAAUUCUUGGUGUAGCGGUGAAAUGCGUAGAUAUCAAGAUGAACACCUGAGGCGAAGGCGGGUUGCUGGGCCGACACUGACGCUGAUGCGCGAAAGCCAGGGGAGCAAACG